rfam:Oryza sativa (indica cultivar-group) chromosome 3, whole genome shotgun sequence.
AAUAAGUGCAGCCAUGAAUUUCCGCGUUCAACUUUGAUCGUUCGUCUUAUUUGAAAUUAUUUUAUAAUUAGCAUUUUUGUUGUUAUGAGAUAAUAAAACAUGAAUAGUACUUUACUCGUGACUUAUGUUUUUAAUUUUUUUAAAAAAAAUUCAAAUAAGACGAACGGUCAAAGUUGGGCGCGGAAAACCAUGACUGUAAUUAUU